AGAGUUUGAUCCUGGCUCAGAUUGAACGCUGGCGGCAGGCCUAACACAUGCAAGUCGAGCGCGAAAGGCUUUCGGGCUGAGUAGAGCGGCGGACGGGUGAGUAACGCGUAGGAAUCUACCUGGUAGUGGGGGACAACUUGGGGAAACUCAAGCUAAUACCGCAUACGCCCCAAGGGGGAAAGCGGGGGACCUUCGGGCCUCGCGCUAUCGGAUGAGCCUGCGUAGGAUUAGCUUGUUGGUGAGGUAAAGGCUCACCAAGGCGACGAUCCUUAGCUGGUC
rnacentral:rRNA from 1 species